rnacentral:rRNA from 1 species
UACGGAGGAUCCGAGCGUUAUCCGGAUUUAUUGGGUUUAAAGGGAGCGUAGGCGGAGGAUCAAGUCAGUUGUGAAAUGUAGACGCUCAACGUCUGCACUGCAGUUGAAACUGGUUCCCUUGAGUGCGUAAGAGGCAGGCGGAAUUCGUCGUGUAGCGGUGAAUUGCUUAGAUAUGACGAAGAACUCCGAUCGCGAAGGCAGCUCGCCGGGCCGCAACUGACGCUGAAGCUCGAAGGUGCGGGUAUCGAAC